GAUGACAGUCCACCAUCUUCCAAUAUGGUAGCUUAUCGCUUAUUAAAGUUCUUUCUCUACCAUUGCCUGCUUGGCCUUUUGUCUUGUGGCGAACAGCUUAAGCCCUUCCUUGCUCGUUGUCUCUUUGAGGAAUGCUGGGAUUUGCCCCUGGAAUUUAUGGAAGACUGCAUGCAGGGGUUGGUGACUUUCAGGAAUGUUUCCAUCACCUUCUCUUGGGAGGAGUGGGCGUGUCUGGACCCUGCUCAGAGAGAUUGUACAAGAGUGUGAGGGUGGAGAACGGCAACAACCUGGUUUCAUGGUGAAGCAGAAGGCCUAAGCCAUCUAUAAUCUUCUUACUUGAGAGUGGGAAAGAGCCAUGGAUGGAAGAGAGAAUGGUGACACGAGCCACAAGCUCAGGUCACUGCCACAGCAUGGCCGCCAACAAGUGGUAUAGGUCCGUGCCCAGGAACCAAAUCCAGGCUGCUGAAGUGGAGCACAGCGAAUUUAACUGCUAGGCCAUGUGGCCAGCCCCAAGUUUUCAAUUUUAAUUAAUUUAAAUAAUAGUGUUUUAUCCAUUCUAUUGUCUGUAACCGAAUUUUAUCAGUUGAUCCAAAAUGUUCUUUAUGGCUUUUCCCCCUUUAGUACAGUGUCAACUCUAGUGGCAGUUACUGCAUUUAAUUAUGGCACUUUAGUCUCCUUUAAUUUGGAACAUUUUGUCACUCUUUCCUGGCCUUUUAGGAAAUUAACAUUUUUGAGGAAUUUAUUCUCCUUUUGAGUAGAAUAUUCUUUAUUUUGGAUUAGUCUGAUGUUUCUUCAUGAUUAGAUUCAAGUUCUGCAUUCCCCGUUGGAAAUGCUCCAUGAGUAAUACUGGGUAUUUUAGGCAUCACUUCCAGAGGCACAGGAUGUCCAUCUGCCCCUUCUUGGUGAUAUUAAUUUUGAUCACCCAGAGUAUUGUCUGAUUUCUCUACAAAAUGGUUACUUUUUUUCUCCCUCUUACAAUUGACAAGCAAUCUGUGGGAAGACACUUUAAGGCCAUGCAAAUACUCUGGUUCUUGUAAAAUUUCCCCCCUAGAUUUGGCAUCCAUUGGUUAUUUUGUCCUGACUCAGUCUUUACUCUGAUGGUGUCAAAAGGCUGAUUUUCCAACUAUGUGGACUCUUUCCACAUUUGCUAUUCAGCUCUAGAGAUUCUACUCUAAGCAAGAG
rnacentral:lncRNA from 1 species